UCUCUCUCUGUCCCAAAAAUAAAUAAACGUUGAAAAAAAAAUUAAAAAAAAAUUGCACAGAGAAUACAUGGAUAUAUUCCAUGUAUAAUAAUAUACAACGGUAUAUAAGGCAACGGUAACCAUCCCUGAAGUAAAUGAAACAAAAAGGGGUAAGUUCCCUUCUCUUUGUCCCCUUCUCCCACCUUCCCUCCCUGAGGUGACCACUUUGGACAACGACCCACAUCCCUCCCUGCAUUUCCUCUGUGUUUUCAUAAAAAUUAGGUACAUAUAGGUAGUUUUGAUUUUUUAUGUCAGUGGAGGUAGAUAGGUAAUAUUGUUAGGCAACUUGCUUUUUUCUUUUUCUAGCAUAUGUUGGAGAUCAAUGCACCCAAAGCCACCUCAUUUGUUUUAAUGCCUUCACAGCGUUCCAUUGUAUGGAUGUUCCAUAACUGAUCUAACCAGUCUCCUGUGGUUGGGCGUUUUUUCCCACAGUGCUUUGCUCUCAUGCAGAACGCCGCAGUGAAGAUGCCUGUAUGUGUAAUUUCAUCCCUAUGUGUGUACAUCUGUUCCGAAAAUGGAGUUGCUGAGUCCAUUGUGAUUUUGAUGGAUGUUACCAAAUCAUCCUUCGUUAGAGAUGUGUUGGCGUCGGGUAUCCGGUUUCGAAUUCUGUUGUCUUCAUUUCACUUAAGAUCAUAAACAUGUCACAUAUGCUCUGUGGUAGGCAGCUUCCAAGAUGGCACCCAGUGAUCUUGAUGGGGUUCUGGACACGCUAGCCCAAAAUAUGGCACCUUGGCAUAUUGAAUAUUUUAAGCUGAAAGAGUCUGAGGAAAUAGGAGAAGCAGGAAGGUCACUCUGACCUUUCCUCUGCCUUUCUCUCCUGAAACAAGUCAUAAACCCUCAUGAGAGAGGUACUUUUCCUGUCCUGGCAGAAAGGACUACCAACUAUCCCUGAAGAGAGACACCAAGAAGAAUCUGAACAAACAGGCCUUGCUACGUUUCCCCCAGUUUCCUACACCUACCUCACGUUCUCGGACCUGUCCUAUUUUCACACGACUGCCCACUCUUCAUCAGACUUGGCAUAGAAAUACUCAGGUCUGUUUUUCCUGGUUUUCAUUUUCUUAGGAAGGCUCCUGUGUCACGCAAAACUUAUAUUAAAUAAAUUUAUAUGCUUUUCUUCUGUUAAUCUUUGUCGGUUUAAUAUUCAGACCCAGUCAAGGACACUGAGGGUCGAGGAAAACUUUUCCCUUCCCUACAGUCCCUAUCUCCUGGAAUUCACAUGCCAGUGUAACCCUCUCUCCUUGAAAUUGGACUAGACCUAGAGAUUCAUUCUUUUUUUUUUAAGUUUGUUUGUUUGUUUGUUUAUUUAUUUAGAGACGUGGGAGGGGCGGGGAGAGAGAGAAUCCCAAGCAGACACCACACUGUCAGCACAGAGCCUGAAGCGGGACUUGAACCCAUGAACUGUGAGAUCGUGACCUGAGCUGAAACCAAGAGUUGGACACUUAACCGACUGAGCCACCCAGGUGCCCUGAGACUCAUUUCUAAUAAAUAGAAUACAGCAGAAAUGACAGGAGGUCACUUCCAAGAUCACGUUACAGAGGACUGUGCCUUCUGGGUCGCUCACUUGCUCUAAGGGAAGCCAGCCGCCAUAUUGUGAGCUGUCCUAUGGAGGGGCUGAUGUCUUAAGAGCCAACAAGGACCUGAGUGCCAACAGCCAUGUGAGUGAACUUGGAAGUGGAUCCUCUUCUAGUCAAGCUUUGAGAUGACUACCUCCUCCUGAGACACCUUGACCCAGAGGCUCCCAGCCAAGCCAUGCCUGGAUUCUUGAGCCAAAGAAACCCAGAGAUAAUAAAUGUCUGUUAGUUAAGCCA